rnacentral:rRNA from 1 species
GAACGGCAGCACGGGUGCUUGCACCUGGUGGCGAGUGGCGAACGGGUGAGUAAUACAUCGGAACAUGUCCUGUAGUGGGGGAUAGCCCGGCGAAAGCCGGAUUAAUACCGCAUACGAUCUACGGAUGAAAGCGGGGGACCUUCGGGCCUCGCGCUAUAGGGUUGGCCGAUGGCUGAUUAGCUAGUUGGUGGGGUAAAGGCCUACCAAGGCGACGAUCAGUAGCUGGUCUGAGAGGACGACCAGCCACACUGGGACUGAGACACGGCCCAGACUCCUACGGGAGGCAGCAGUGGGGAAUUUUGGACAAUGGGCGAAAGCCUGAUCCAGCAAUGCCGCGUGUGUGAAGAAGGCCUUCGGGUUGUAAAGCACUUUUGUCCGGAAAGAAAUCCUUGGCUCUAAUACAGUCGGGGGAUGACGGUACCGGAAGAAUAAGCACCGGCUAACUACGUGCCAGCAGCCGCGGUAAUACGUAGGGUGCAAGCGUUAAUCGGAAUUACUGGGCGUAAAGCGUGCGCAGGCGGUUUGCUAAGACCGAUGUGAAAUCCCCGGGCUCAACCUGGGAACUGCAUUGGUGACUGGCAGGCUAGAGUAUGGCAGAGGGGGGUAGAAUUCCACGUGUAGCAGUGAAAUGCGUAGAGAUGUGGAGGAUACCGA